AUUGAACGCUGGCGGCAUGCCUUACACAUGCAAGUCGAACGGCAGCACGGGGGCAACCCUGGUGGCGAGUGGCGAACGGGUGAGUAACACAUCGGAACGUACCCGGUGGUGGGGGAUAGCCCGGCGAAAGCCGGAUUAAUACCGCAUACGACCUACGGGUGAAAGCGGGGGAUCGUAAGACCUCGCGCUAUCGGAGCGGCCGAUGUCAGAUUAGGUUGUUGGUGGGGUAAAGGCCUACCAAGCCGAUGAUCUGUAGCUGGUCUGAGAGGACGACCAGCCACACUGGGACUGAGACACGGCCCAGACUCCUACGGGAGGCAGCAGUGGGGAAUUUUGGACAAUGGGCGCAAGCCUGAUCCAGCCAUGCCGCGUGCGGGAAGAAGGCCCUCGGGUUGUAAACCGCUUUUGUCGGGGAAGAAGCGCCCU
rnacentral:rRNA from 1 species